CGGAGGUGCCCGCAGCCCAGAGCCGGCCCCGCCCGGCCGUAGCGAGGGGCCUGGGAGCGGGGACAGACCCCUGGCCCGUCUGCCGGUUCUUGACCUGAAUGUCGGAAAACGCCUCCCGGGAAAGCGCCCUGGGCGGGAUACUGUUGCUUCUGAAGACUUGGUGAUCAGAGCUGUUGUGGAAAUGCUCUCCUGGUCAGGUCUUCUGCAUGGAGGUCAAUCUACCUGGCAACCCCCUGUGGUCUGAGGAUUCACUUUAUGGGCAAGAGAAGCAAAGGAGUUCAUAGGGCUGCUUGGAGAGACCAAGGCACUGCUGAAGAGACUGGCUGCAUCCACACGUCUUACAAACCUGACUACUUCCCCAGGAACUCACCCGGCAUGCUCCACACCAAGGGGACUUUUAAUUUCUCAGACUUUCUUCCGGGCCUGUAUCUAUGUUCCCCCUCAUCCUUCAGAUCAUUUUUCCUUGACCAAGGUUGGGUUAGGGACUCCUUAAUGGCACGUGGCACUGAUCAUACUAGUGUCAUUGCUGGUUUGCUCUGCUCAUUAAACUGUACAAAAUGUCUUUAUUUUCCAUUAUACCUAGUUCCUGGCACAAAGCAAGCACUCAAAAAGAACUGCUGGAUAAAUUAAUCUGAAUUAUUGUCUCACUCUGGUCGACCCUGGGCUCAUUAAAUCACUAAUGAAACUGUUCCCCUA